ACGCAUGGUCCCAGCGCGCGUGCGCCCCUGAAGGCGGGUUCCGGUGGCAGCGCCGGGGUCUCAGACCCUGAGGAGACUGAGCCCAGCGCCAGGCGACCGGUCCCCGCCGCCGCCGCCCCUGCGCGGGAGAUCCCCCCUGCUUAGUCCGCGCCCGAGCCCCCGUCCGUGGGAACAGACAAGGGGCCUCCGCAGCGCCUCACAACCCCCGACCAGGUCCAGCGGCGGGGGACUCGGCCGUGGAGGGCGCUGUUCGGUCUGGAUGGCUCCCCCCAUCAGCGGGAGGCUACACCCCCCACCAGCAGGGGCAAGAGGAGCAGCGGGAUGGGAGCAGGCCAACGUCCUGCGGCCUGGUUGAGCUCGCACUGACAAUCGCAGGCCCAGUAACCCGCAGGUCACCGCGCUCCCCACCUGCGUUGCUGACGGUGACAUCGUCAGGGGAGGGGGGCGCGCCUUCCCAGAGGCUCAGGUCGCGAGGGUAGCCGGGGUCCGGGCGCGCCGCCGCCUCGUCGUAGCGCCAGUACUGCCGGCCGCGGACCAGCUCAGGCGCUCAGGACUGCCAGGACCCAGAGGAUUCACACGCCAGCCCCGGCUGAAGCCCAGCUCCUCAUCAACCGGUGAGCCGCCUGCCAGCUCCUGCUCCAGCUGCUGAGAGGCCUGAAGAGACCAAGACAGAGACACAGCCCCGCAGCACCACAGGGAGGCCCCAGUUACCCCAUGCGGAUGAGUUUCAUGGCCAUCUCUAACUAAGGACAGGACAUCGAUGUCAUCUGUAACUUCCGGUGCACUGGGGCACACAGCUGCAUCUCCCCAUGCUCACCUCCUGCCUCUUGCUCUGCCCAGUAAGCUCGCCAACCCCCGUGGACUGCUGGCUCUCAAGGCGGCCGCUAGCCCAGCUCCGACAGCAGCUGACAAUGCACAGUAUGCGGCCCAGGGCAGGCCCUGUGCUGAGAGGCAUGGGUGAAUGGCUCAUUUCAUCGGCAAGCCCACGCCACCAGCAGGCGCCGUUCUCCUCGCAUUUCUCAGGCGAGGAACCUGAGACAAUGAGGUUAAGGAAGUUGUUCAUUACAAGUGGAAGAACCCUGACUUACUUGAAUUCAGCUUUGAAGCCCACAUUCUCUUUUUCUGUGUGUGUGACAGGGUCUCACUUUGUCACCCAGGCCGCAGUGCAGUGGUGUGAACACAGCUCAUUGCAGUCUCAACCUCCCUGACUCAAGCAAUCCUCCUGCCUUAGCCUCCUGAGUAGCUGGGACUACAAGCAUGUGCCACCACGCCCAGCCGAAGCCCAUAUGUGAAUGUUGAGGCACACAGCCUCCCCAGCCUCUGCCUUACCAAGCCCUCCACAGGGCCUAGGCACCCUCCCUGGCUGCCCCCUUCCCCCGUCACUCAGGCUCCCCAGCAGCCAAUGUAGUUAAUAUGGGGCUGCAAAGAGCUGGGCCUGGCCUCAGGCGGGACCGCCUCCCCGGCAUUGCCAUCCCUGCUGCAGAGCUCCCAUGCGAUCAGCCUCCUCUCCAGCUGAGACCACAUCCUCACUCAGCUUCUAGGCUGUUCCUGCUCCCCAUUCCCCUCAGCACAUGGCCCCUGAGAAACUGCUUGCACAAGAAUUUCCCUCUGGAGCCCCACCUCUGGGGAACCUGACCUCAGACAGAGGAGACCAAGCUCUAGGGCAGGAUCCUCCACCUCCCUUGCCCCACCGGUGUGGCCAGCCCAGAGCGCUGCAGACUCCCGCCCAGACCUGCACUUGUGCCUGCCUUCUGCCAGCCUGCUCCUCCUCCUCCCACUCUCACACCUGCAUUAACAGCACCAGGACGCCAUCCUCCAAGGGCCCCAGCCUCAUCUCCCCUGUCACCAGGAUCCAGCCAGAUCUCAAUCCUUGCCCAUCCUAACUGAACCUCCCUCAGAUCCGUCCACUGCCCCCUUCCCCAGGACCACACUCCACCAUCUCUUGCCUGGACCCUGCGAGAACUUCCUGCCUCCCUGCCUCUAUCCUACCCCCUGCCCCCCGCUGAAGCUGAUGAUAGUUCCGGAAUGCAAAACCCCUUAAUGAUUCCCCCAUUGAUCAAAGUCUUCCACAUGCUUUCAAGGUCCUUGGUGAUCCAGGACCUGCCGCCUUCUGCAGUCUCCCUACUGAUGCCAUAGUUUUGGCUUCUGGCCUCAUAUGUCCCGGGUCAUUUCUCUGGUCACUGGCUCCUCUUACCCCUGACUCAGCUGGCUCACUGCUUUCCCAUUGGAUCUCAACCCUGUGUACCUGGGGAGAGCGGAACUCUGUAUGUCUUGUCUUGUGCUAGUAGUCACUCAGUGUGUAUGUGUGGAUAUUCAUAUAUAUAUAUAUAUAUAUUUGA